UCUAAUCUAAACCCUAAAAAAGAUCUUCAUCACGCUCAACAAAAUCCAACUAACCAAAAAAAAACCCUAAUCUCCAUUUCAUAUAGUUAGUAUAUAUAUGAUCCCAUAAUAUUCACAAAUCCUCUCCCAAUUCCCAAAAUUCCAAAAAGUUUUGUAUCAAUGUCUCAUGAUGGAGCAACAAAGAAGGAUAACCCUAACUUUAACGGCGCCGGUAACAGUAACGGCAAUCGGAAUGUAUCAAACGGCGUCGCCGUUUACCCGUCGUAUGCAUCUCACCGUUUACGGCUGAACCCUAGUGUUGAUCACAAAUCGGAUAACUAUGAUGACUUACAAUUGGAUUUUAGUCCAUUGUUGUUUAGCUCACUUGAACGUUAUCUUCCACCUGCGCUUCUGAAUUCUUCGACAAGGGAUCAGAAGGUGAAUUAUAUGCGUGAAAUUCUGCUGCGAUACUUUCCUGAAGGCGAACGUGUUCGUGUCCAGAAGCAUAGAGAAUACAGACAGAAGAUUGUAUCAAACUAUCAGCCUCUACACAGGGAAUUAUAUACGUUGCAUGCUGCGAAUUUCUUUGUGCCAUCAUUUCUUAAGGCAGUUAGUGAGAACACAGAGGAAAGUUACAGGAACAUAAUGUGUGAACCCUCUCCUGGAGUUUUUACAUUCGAAAUGCUUCAACCACGAUUUUGUGAGAUGAUGUUGGCUGAGGUAGAAAACUUUGAGAGGUGGGUCCGUGAGACGAAAUUCAGAAUAAUGCGUCCCAAUACGAUGAACAAAUUUGGUGCCGUUCUUGAUGACUUUGGCCUUGAAAACAUGCUGGAGAAGUUGAUGGAAGAUUUCAUUCGUCCCAUUUCAAGAGUUUUCUUUUCUGAUGUUGGUGGAUCCACACUUGAUUCCCAUCAUGGUUUUGUUGUCGAGUAUGGGAUGGAUAGAGACGUUGACUUGGGUUUCCAUGUUGAUGAUUCAGAAGUGACUUUAAAUGUGUGCUUGGGUAAGCAAUUUUGUGGUGGAGAGCUGUUCCUCCGUGGAGUGAGGUGUGAGAAGCAUGUAAAUUCUGAAACACAACCAGAGCAAAGGAUAAUGAAUGCACCCUGUGUUUGCUUGAUCACCAAGUGUAUCAGCUGAUACUUGUUGUCAACAUAUGGUGUAAAUGAUGAAGAAAGUUGCAACUCCACCUUUUAGAUGUGUGUUAGAGUAGCAAUCAUCAAUUUCACAAAAGAGCUUAAUCAUGUCAACUGUAUGAACAUUCACUAUUGGAUCUUUAUUAUUAUAACAGGAGCUCUUUGAUUACUCCCACGCCCCAGGGCGUGCAGUGCUGCAUCGUGGUCGCCAUCGCCAUGGUGCUAGAGCAACAACAUCAGGGCAGAGGAUCAACUUCUUGUUGUGGUGCAGAAGUUCUGUCUUUAGAGAGAUAAGGAAGCACCACAAAGACGCCUCCAGCUGGUGUGCAGAAUGCCAACGCGAGAAGAAGGAAAGGCAAAGGCAGGCUGUUGCCGCUACUAAAUUGGAGCUGCUGAAAAGAGGAGAAACUGCUAUAUAGUUCAUUCUGUUUUAGUUUUAUAUAUCAUUUUUUUUUUUUUUUUGUAUUUUGCCCCAUGUAAUAUAGCUCAACUCUCAUAUAUUCAGGCAGAGGCACUUUCAUGUUCGAUAUAAUAUUAAAAGGUGUUGUUCGUUUUACUGAAA